UGAUAUUUUCAUGGCAACGGAAAUCUUGCA
rnacentral:piRNA from 1 species